rnacentral:rRNA from 1 species
GUGGGGAAUCUUCCACAAUGGACGAAAGUCUGAUGGAGCAACGCCGCGUGAGUGAAGAAGGUCUUCGGAUCGUAAAGCUCUGUUGUCAGGGACGAAUGUUGAGACUGUAAAUAAUGGUUUCAAAUGACGGUACCUGACGAGGAAGCCACGGCUAACUACGUGCCAGCAGCCGCGGUAAUACGUAGGUGGCGAGCGUUGUCCGGAAUUAUUGGGCGUAAAGGGAGCGCAGGUGGGAAAGUAAGUCUGUCUUAAAAGUGCGGGGCUCAACCACGUGAGGGGACAGAAACUAUUUUUCUUGAGUGCAGGAGAGGAAAGCGGAAUUCCUAGUGUAGCGGUGAAAUGCGUAGAUAUUAGGAGGAACACCAGUGGCGAAGGCGGCUUUCUGGACUGUAACUGACACUGAGGCUCGAAAGCCAGGGGAGCGAACGGGAUUAGAAACCCCUGAGUCC